rnacentral:rRNA from 1 species
CAGCAGCCACGGUAAUACGUAGGUGGCAAGCGUUGUCCGGAAUUAUUGGGCGUAAAGGGCUCGCAGGCGGUUUCUUAAGUCUGAUGUGAAAGCCCCCGGCUCAACCGGGGAGGGUCAUUGGAAACUGGGAAACUUGAGUGCAGAAGAGGAGAGUGGAAUUCCACGCGUAGCGGUGAAAUGCGUAGAGAUGUGGAGGAACACCAGUGGCGAAGGCGACUCUCUGGUCUGUAACUGACGCUGAGGAGCGAAAGCGUGGGGAGCGAACAGGAUUAGAUACCCGGGUAGUCCCUGUCUCUUAUAC